rnacentral:lncRNA from 1 species
GCUCCUCCUUGGUCCCCGCGCCAUGGCGCGUCCGCGUUGACCGCUGUCUUCCCUUUCGGGCUGUGCUGAUCGCGAACGCUGCGCAGUCCGUGGUGGCGUCGAGGCACCUUUCUCGUGCCUUUACCUGUGUUCACUCCUUUGCUUUAAAAAACAGCCCUAGAAGUACACAUCGUUGGCCCCGAAGGAGCCCCAGCAGCCAUGUCGGACCGCGAGGUGACCUUGGAGGGCGGGAGGACGGACGAGGGGCCUGGCGGAGCUAGACUGAGAGGGCGCCGCCGGCGUCCUGAAGGCCCUGCUCCCCGAAUGUGUGGGAGUGUGUCUGACGGUGCGAGGGUGGCUGUGGCGGGGCCUGAGCAGCGUGUCCGUGUCCCGAUGCCGCCCGCCUGUUACUGAGUUAGGCAGGAGUGCCCGAGUCUGGCGAACUUCAGCAGUUCUCGUUCCAGAGCUCCACACGAGGUUGGCCAAAGCUUUGCGGGACUUACAUACCCUUCUUCCUCCGCCCAGUCCUGCUUCCUUCCCCUUCCUUUCACGGGUGUUGAUACCAUGUCAACAUCCUCGUACCCCAAACUCAGUCGCAGCGUCUGCUUCUGGAGAAACCAUUCUGCAGCAUUAAAGCUGGUGAGAAGAUGGGAUUCGAGGCUGCAUCACUCACCAGUGGUGAAGUAGGAGGGUGAACUAGUGAAAUGGAAUCCACGAGUGGGUGAAGUAUCAGACAUUUCAUAUAUGGUGAACGUAGUAGAUAAAAGGAAGGAAAGGGGGAUUGGAUAGCUAUUGCUUAGUGCCAACCGAGACUCUUAAGAAUAGUGGUCAGCUGAAGGCAAGCAACAAACAGUUGUAAGCCAGUGAAUCUGUCCCGUUACAUAUAGAGAAGCUUCAUUUACUGCAGCAGGUCAAAGACAAGAACCAGGCCCAGGAAUUAACAUCCCUGUUUGACUGAACUCCAAAAAUAGCAAAACACCCAAACAAGGCAAUACUCUUCCACUAAGUUUGGAUCCCUGCUAAGAAAAGAUGAGGCUGGGCACAGUGGCUCACACCUGUAAUCCCAGCACUUUGGGAGGCCAAGGCGGGAAGAUUGCUUGAGUUCAGGAGUUCAAGACCAGCUUGGGCAACAUGACAAAACCCCAUCUCUACUGAAAACACAAAAAAUUAGCCGGGCAUGGUGGCCACGGCUGUGGUCCCAGCUGCUUGGGAGGCUAAGGUGGGUGGAUCACCUGAGCCCUGGAAGUCAGGGCUGGAGUGCAGUUGCUGGAUCAUGGCCCACUGUAGCCUCAACUUCCUGGGCUCAAACGAUCCUCCCACCUGAGCCUCCUAAGUAACUGGGACUACAGGUAUGUGUCACCACACCUGGAUACAUUUUUUAUUACUUGUAGAGGCAAGGUCUUGCUAUGUUGCCCGGGCUUGUCUCAAACUUCUAGGCUCCAGUGAGCCAUCACACCUGGCCUGCCUUGAACCUGAAGCCUGCCGGGGUGGCUCACCUCUCCUAUUAACCUGACACUACUCCUCCUCCCUCCACUUACUGCUCAGUAGAUGUAUAAUUAUGGUUGUUUCUUUUGCAUUAUUCAGCUGGAAACAAUGAGAUAGAAAAGAGAAUAUAGCUCCCUCCCCCUCAGAAGAACUGCGUUAUUAGUUUGCUGGGGCUUCAGUAACAAACUGGGCAGACAUUUAUUGUCUCCCAGUUCUGGAGGCUAGAAGUCUGAGAUCAAAGUUUUCACAGGGUUGGUUCCUUCUGGGGCUGGGAGGGAGAAUCUGUCUCAUGCCUCUCUCCCAGCUUCUGGUGGUUUGCUGGCAGUCUUUGGUUCCUUGGCUUAUAGAGGCAUUGUCCCAGUCCUGCCUUUAUAUUCACAUGGUGAUCUUGUUGUGUGUGUCUCUCCAGACGAAGGCAUAAGUAACAUCAUUGACAAAGGUCAUUCGACAUGGGCCUCUUUUUAGAAGGACACCAGUCAUACUGAUUAGGGCCCACUCUAAUGAGCGCAUCUUAACUUGUCUACAAAGACCCAUUUCCAAAUAAUGUCACAUUCACAUUGACCAGGGGUUAGGGCUUCAGCAUCUUUUGAGAGGGACACACUUCAGCCCAUAACAAGCUGUACCACCCAGCCAACAUGUACUGACAGGAGCUGGGAAAGUUUGGGGCUGGAUUAUGAGGGUGCUUGAUGAAGGGAGCUGGAAUGUAAACUUGCAUAGAUGUGUUUAUUGAAAUACGUGAUUUAACACCUUGGCAAAGAGUGGCUGCAGACUUCCUGCAAGGAUGGCUCCUAGAAUGGCGGUAUAGCUACUGCUGCCUAACAAAUUACUCCACACUUCGUGGCUUAAAACAAGAAUCAUUUCUUAUCUCUAGGUUACUGUGGGUCAGACAUAGUGGGGAUCGGUGAUCUCUCUAGGUUACUGUGGGUCAGACAUAGUGGGGAUUGGUUAUCUCUCUUCCACAGUGUCUGAGGCCUCAGCUGGAGCAGUUCAGAGGCUAGAGGUUGGAAUGAGUGAAGGUUCAUCUGCUCGAAUGUCUGACAGCUGAUACUGGAGAUUGGCUGCAGCCCAGAUUGGGGAUGUCAGCCAGCACACCCCUACACGGCCGGUCCCUGUGGCCGAGGCUUUCUCACAAUAUGAUGGCUGGAUUCCAAGGGCAAUCUAAAGACAAAGGACAAAAGAAAGCUGUCCACUGUGAUGAUUGCAUUAACUGUACAAAUCGAUUGUAAAACGUGCAUUUGACGAGGCCAGGAGAUCAAGACCAUCCUGGCUAACACAGUGAAAACCCGUCUCUACUAAAAAUACAAAAAAUCAGCCGGGUGUGGUGGCAGGCACCUGUAGUCCCAGCUACUCGGGAGGCUGAGGAAGGAGAAUGGCAUGAACCUGGGAGAUGGAGCUUGCAGUGAGCUGAGAUGGCGCCACUGCACUCCAGCCUGGGCGACAGAGUGAGACUCCAUCUCAAAAAACAAACAAACCAAAAAAAAAAAAAAACGUGUGUUUGAACAAUAAUGAAAUCAGUGCACCUUGAAAAUGAACAGAACAGCGAUUUUAGGGAACAAGGGAAGACAACCAUAAGGUCUGACUGCCUGUGGGUUCGGGCAAAAAGAGCCAUAUUUUUCUUCUUGCAGAGAGCCUAUAAACGGACGUGCAAGUAGGAGAGAUAUCGCUAAAUUCUUUUCCUAACAAGGAAUAUUAAGACCCUAGGAAAAUAAUUGCAUUCCUUGGGGGAGGUCUAUAAAUGCUUGCUCUGGGAGUGUCUGUCUUACGCAGUUGAGAUAAAGACUGAAAUACGCCCUGGUCUCCUGCAGUACCCUCAGGAUUGUUAGGGUGGGGGAAAAAACCACUCCCUGGUAAAUCUGAGGUCAGACUGGUUCUCUGCUCUUGAACCCUGUUUUCUGUUGUUUAAGAUGUUUAUCAAGACAAUACAUGCACAGCUGAACAUAGACCCUUACCAGGAGUUUUUGAUUUUGCCCUUUGCCUUGUGAUCUUUAUUGGCCUCAGAAGCACGUAAUCUUUGUUCUCCCUUUUGCCCUUUGAAGCAUGUGAUCUUUGUGACCUACUCCCUGUUCGUACACCCCCUCCCCUUUUGAAGUCCUUAAUAAAAACCUGCUGGUUGUGCGGCUCAGGUGGGCAUCACGGUCCUACCACUAUGUGAUGUCACCCCUGGCAGCCCAGCUCUAAACUUCCUCUUUGUACUCUAUUUCUCAGACUGGCCGACACUUAGGGAAAAUAGAAAGAACCUACGUUGAAAUAUUGGGGAUGGGUUCCCCCGAUAGUGCUGGGAGGGCAGCACGCCUGCAGUGGACACAGAAGCUCUGAGCCCCAUACCUGUCCUGCUCACCUCUUCCAUUUGGCUGUUCCUUUGUUGUACCCUGUAUAAUAAACUGGUAAUCCCAAGAAUAGUACUUUGCAUCAUUCUAGUAAAUUAUUAAACCUACAGGGGUGGGGCUGAAAACCCCACAAACUUAUAAAUUGGCUGGGCAGAAUUGCGGGUAGCCUGGAAACACCACUUGUGGCUGACGUCUGACGUGGAGACUGAGUCCUUAGCUUUUAGGGUCUGUGCUGACUCCAGGUAGUACCAGAAUUGAAGGACUUUAGGCCAGGCACUGUGGUUCACGCCUGUAAUCCCAGCACUUUGGGAGGCCAAGAUAGGAUCACUUGAGCCCAGGAAUUCGAGACCAGCCUGGGCAACAGGGAGACCCCCCAUCUCUACAAAAAUAAAUUAAUUAAAAAUGGAAGGACUUUGUCCUUAACUUGUGGGAACUGUGUCCAUUCUGACUCUAGGUAGUGUCAGAAUGGAACUGUAGGACAGGCAGCUCGUGUUAGAAAAGGAGACAAGCCUCCAGCAGGUCAGGGAGGCGGCAGCAGGCAGCAUGAACGGUAGCCCAGGCUCCCAUGCAGUUCUCCAGCUCUGCUGUCCCCCUGCAUCUAUCCAUUCCUAUUCUGCAUAUGAAUUUGCUUUUCCCGCCCAACACUCAUUUGCAGACUUCCCAAAUUCCUAAUUCAUCAUCGCUUCUAACCAGAAAACUCUUCUGAGAGCAAGUGUGGCUCUAAGCAUGUGGUUGUACGAUGCCCUCAUCUUACCCCAAACUCCUAUCAGUCAGAAGUAGCUUGCUUAGUGGAUGGUGGAAAGGCCUCCCGAAGGCUCAGUUAUGAUGCCAGAUUGGAGACAAUGCCCUGUCAAUAUGGAUGUUAUAAUACAGGAUGUGGUAUAGGCUUUAACUGAACAAUACCUAGUGCUACUUCUCCCACAGCCAGCAUAUGCUGGCUUGGAAACCUAAGGGCUGCAGAUAGGAAUGGCCCCUCUUACUGUUAUGCCAAGUAACCCCAGAAGGAAUUUUUGCUUCUCAUCUUGUAACUCUGAACUCCACUGUCCCAAGGGAGGACUGCUUCUACCAGGUACGACAAUGGUGGUAUUUUGAACUUUGAACUAGCAGUUGAGACUGCUGCCUGAGCCAACACCCAGGGAUGGAGUUACUGCACUAACUGGUGCUAUUGAUCCCAAUUUUUGAGGGAAACUGGGUGGCUCAUACACAAUGAAAACAGGAACAUCCUUAUCUGCAAUCUAGUGUCUUCACUGGCACCUUUUGGUACCGAGGACUUUCGGCUCAGUGCAGCCUCCGCCUCCUGGGUUCAAGUGAUCCUCCUGCCUCAGCCUCCCGAGUAGCUGGGAUUACAGGGGCCUGCCACCACACCCGGCUAAUUUUUGUAUUUUUAGUAGAGACCGGGUUUUGCCAUGUUGGUUAGGCUGGUCUCAAACUCCUGACCUUGUGAUCUGGCCACCUCGACCUCCCAAAGUGCUGGGAUUACAGGUGUGAGCCACCACACCCGGCUGACAGCUUCUUGGCUUCAAGCUAGAACAGGCUCCUCACAUUCAUGUCCCAUUGUCUUUGAUGAAACGAGGGCAGUUAACUGUAGAAUAGCCCAUGUUCAUCUUUUUCCUCAUGGUUUCAUUUAUUUUUCCUUCAAUAAACUAUAAGUUAGGGCUGGACACAGUGUCUUGAGCCUGUAUUCCCAGCACUUUGGGAGGCCAAGGCAGGAGGAUCACUUGAAGCUAGGGGUUCAAGACCAGUGUGGGCAACAGAGUGAAACUCCAUCUCUACUUAAAAAAAAAAAAAAACAAAAAACAACUAGCUCAAUGUGGCAGUGCGUGCCUGUACUCCCAGCUACUCGGGAGGCAGAGACAGUAGGAUUGCUUGAGCCAGGAGCUUGAAACCAGGCCGGGAAACAAAGUGAAACCUUGUCUCUAAAAGAAAUACGAAAAUUAGUGCCAGGCGUGGUGGUGCGCACCUGUAGUCCCAACUACUCGGGAGGCUAAGCAGGCGGAUCAUUUGGGCUUGGUAGGUCAAGGCUGCAGUGAGUUGUGAUUGUGCCACUGUACUCCAGCCUGGGUGACAGAGCGAGACCUUGUCUCUAAAAAUAAAAAAAUUAUACCCAUCUAGUACAUUUUUGGAUAAAGGGUCCUUGGCUAGGUAUUACUGUCUAGUCUAAGCGAGUAUGAGUGAAACAUAAAAAAGCACAGCCAGCCGGGCGUGGUGGCUCACACCUGUAAUCCCAACACUUUGGGAGGCCGAGGAGGAUGGAUCAUUUGAGGUCAGGAAUUCAAACCAGCCUGGCCAACAUGGUGAAACUCUGUCUCUACUAAAAAUACAAAAAUUAGCUGGGCCUGGUGGUGGGCGCCUGUAAUCCCAGCUACUCAGGAGGCUGAGGCAGGAGAGUUGCUUGAGCCCAGGAGGCGGCGGUUGCAGUGAGCCGAGAUUGCACCAUUGCACUCCAGCCUGGGUGACAGAGGGAGACUCCCAUCUCAAAAACAAAAAGCAUGGCCAUGAGAGGUGGAUACAUAGUGGCAGCAUCUUUAAAAAAAUAAGAAACCAAGUAAGAGUAAACAACAGUCAAGUGGCUAUUCAAGAAUGCUCCGGGUUCCACUGAAAAUUUUUGACUUACGAGUUUAACAUAAACUCUCUGCUCAAUUUUUUAGUCAGUGAGAAAGGCAAACUGAUAAAAUGGAUAAAAUGGAAAAAAAAAACAACACAAGGGCUAUUCACAAACAAAACAGUGAUUAAAUUUUAUUCCUUUUUGAGUUGUUUUGUUUUUAUUUUUAAAUG